AAUGUCAUGUGUUGUACCAAGUGGUAUGUGGAGGUCUCUCCAGACAUAAAUUAUAAUCAUGGAGAAGCGGUGGGAGUAGAAAUGUGCUGAUGUUCACAUCUCAGUUCCCAAAGGUCUGUAGUGCCUGAAGAUCUAAAGAGGGGCACUGUUGAAGAUGCAGUUGCACAAAUAACCUAUCAUUUCCAUAUGAAAAUGGACAUUUGUGCAUAUGUACCAGUCGGAAAUCCCUAUUCCUGCUCACAAUUGCUUUCCAUUAUAUCUGCUUCCAGCUUCAUGAGGGUAUGCUCGAUUCCAGCCACAGCGGGAGCUGGCGCUUCAUCAUCCACUGUGACACCGAGUCCUUUUGAUGCUUGGACUGCACGACUAUUUGGAAGACUUCAUGAAUGCCAGUUGAAAAGAACUGCCGUCGCCUUACACAAAAGCACCAAGACAGCAACAGAAAGGGAAACAACAAGGGAGAAAAAAUAUCUCGAAGUAAGAUCAUACAAAAAGAAGAAAGCCUAUGGAUGUUUAGCCUCAGGAGAGGUGAAGGGAAGAAUGAGGGGUGAGUUAGAAUCUAAAGGAAGGCAGCUCAGCUGCUCCAAUAAAACCAUUUUCAAAAAAGUUCUGAAAGAUGCCAGAAUGCAAAGUGAAAAAGACUUAUCCCCCCACCCCCUGAACAAUAUGCCAAGUAACAGUGGGUUAAGACCAUGGAAGGUCAAUAGAGAUUAA
rnacentral:lncRNA from 11 species